rnacentral:misc_RNA from 1 species
UGGCACCAGAUUCAGGCUAGCGCCUGCG